GAUGAACGCUGGCGGCGUGCCUAAUACAUGCAAGUCGAGCGAACAGACGAGGAGCUUGCUCCUCUGACGUUAGCGGCGGACGGGUGAGUAACACGUGGAUAACCUACCUAUAAGACUGGGAUAACUUCGGGAAACCGUAGCUAAUACCGGAUAAUAUAUUGAACCGCAUGGUUCAAUAGUGAAAGACGGUUUGGCUGUCACUUAUAGAUGGAUCCGCGCCGCAUUAGCUAGUUGGUAAGGUAACGGCUUACCAAGGCAACGAUGCGUAGCCGACCUGAGAGGGUGAUCGGCCACACUGGAACUGAGACACGGUCCAGACUCCUACGGGAGGCAGAAGUAGGGAAUCUUCCGCAAUGGGCGAAAGCCUGACGGAGCAACGCCGCGUGAGUGAUGAAGGUCUUCGGAUCGUAAAACUCUGUUAUUAGGGAAGAACAAAUGUGUAAGUAACUAUGCACGUCUGGACGGUACCUAAGCAGAAAGCCACGGCUAACUACGU
rnacentral:rRNA from 1 species